rnacentral:tRNA from 1 species
CACUGCAUAGCUGUCCCAGCAUUAACCUUUUAAGUUAAAGAAUGAGAAAAUAUUCUUCUCUGUAGUGA